GCUCUCCCUUCAGCAGCACAUAUACUAAAAUUGGAAUGAUAUAGAGAAGAUUAGCAUGGCUCCUGUGCAAGGAUGCCAUGAAAAUUCGUAAAGUGUUCCAUAUUUUU